AUGGCUCACCAAGGCUACGAUGGGUAGGGGUUCUUAGUGGAAGAUCCCCCACACUGGCACUGAGAUACGGGCCAGACUCCUACGGGAGGCAGCAGUAGGGAAUAUUGGUCAAUGGGCGCAAGCCUGAACCAGCCAUGCCGCGUGCAGGAUGAAAGCUCUAUGAGUUGUAAACUGCUUUUGUACAGGAGCAAAACAAUCCUUGCGAGGAUUCUUGAGAGUACUGUAAGAAUAAGCACCGGCUAAUUCCGUGCCAGCAGCCGCGGUAAUACGGAAGGUGCAAGCGUUAUCCGGUUUUAUUGGGUUUAAAGGGUGCGUAGGCGGCUUAUUAAGUCAGUUGUGAAAUCCUAGUGCUUAACGCUAGAACUGCAAUUGAUACUAUUAGGCUUGAGUUAAGAAUAGGUAAGUAGAAUUUAUGGUGUAGUAGUGAAAUGCUUAGAUAUCAUAAGGAAUACCAAUAGCGUAGGCAGCUUACUGGUCUUUAACUGACGCUGAGGCACGAAAGCGUGGGGAGCAAACAGGAUUAGAUACCCUGGUAGUCCACGCCGUAAACGAUGAUCACUCGAUGUACAAUAAACUUUUGUGUGUCUAAGCGAAAGCGUUAAGUGAUCCACCUGGGGAGUAUACCCGCAAGGGUGAAACUCAAAGGAAUUGACGGGGGUCCGCACAAGCGGUGGAGUAUGUGGUUUAAUUCGAUAAUACGCGAGGAACCUUACCUGGGCUAGAAUGUGUUUUGCUACUUUGAGAAAUUAAAGGUUCCUUCGGGACAAAAUACAAGGUGCUGCAUGGCUGUCGUCAGCUCGUGCCGUGAGGUGUUGGGUUAAGUCCUAUAACGAGCGAAACCCUUUUACUUAAUUGCCAGCACAUAAUGGUGGGAACUUUAAGUAGACUGCCCGUGUAAGCGGGAGGAAGGAGAGGAUGAGGUCAAGUCAUCAUGGCCUUUAUGCCCAGGGCUACACACGUACUACAAUGGCAUGUACAAAAGGAAGCUACUUGGUAACAAGAUGCAAAUCUCAAAAGCAUGUCUCAGUUCGGAUUGAGGUCUGCAAUUCGACCUCAUGAAGUUGGAAUCGCUAGUAAUCG
rnacentral:rRNA from 1 species